GUCGAACGAACUCUGGUAUUGAUUGGUGCUUGCAUCAUGAUUUACAUUUGAGUGAGUGGCGAACUGGUGAGUAACACGUGGGAAACCUGCCCAGAAGCGGGGGAUAACACCUGGAAACAGAUGCUAAUACCGCAUAACAACUUGGACCGCAUGGUCCGAGCUUGAAAGAUGGCUUCGGCUAUCACUUUUGGAUGGUCCCGCGGCGUAUUAGCUAGAUGGUGGGGUAACGGCUCACCAUGGCAAUGAUACGUAGCCGACCUGAGAGGGUAAUCGGCCACAUUGGGACUGAGACACGGCCCAAACUCCUACGGGAGGCAGCAGUAGGGAAUCUUCCACAAUGGACGAAAGUCUGAUGGAGCAACGCCGCGUGAGUGAAGAAGGGUUUCGGCUCGUAAAACUCUGUUGUUAAAGAAGAACAUAUCUGAGAGUAACUGUUCAGGUAUUGACGGUAUUUAACCAGAAAGCCACGGCUAACUACGUGCCAGCAGCCGCGGUAAUACGUAGGUGGCAAGCGUUGUCCGGAUUUAUUGGGCGUAAAGCGAGCGCAGGCGGUUUUUUAAGUCUGAUGUGAAAGCCUUCGGCUCAACCGAAGAAGUGCAUCGGAAACUGGGAAACUUGAGUGCAGAAGAGGACAGUGGAACUCCAUGUGUAGCGGUGAAAUGCGUAGAUAUAUGGAAGAACACCAGUGGCGAAGGCGGCUGUCUGGUCUGUAACUGACGCUGAGGCUCGAAAGUAUGGGUAGCAAACAGGAUUAGAUACCCUGGUAGUCCAUACCGUAAACGAUGAAUGCUAAGUGUUGGAGGGUUUCCGCCCUUCAGUGCUGCAGCUAACGCAUUAAGCAUUCCGCCUGGGGAGUACGGCCGCAAGGCUGAAACUCAAAGGAAUUGACGGGGGCCCGCACAAGCGGUGGAGCAUGUGGUUUAAUUCGAAGCUACGCGAAGAACCUUACCAGGUCUUGACAUACUAUGCAAAUCUAAGAGAUUAGACGUUCCCUUCGGGGACAUGGAUACAGGUGGUGCAUGGUUGUCGUCAGCUCGUGUCGUGAGAUGUUGGGUUAAGUCCCGCAACGAGCGCAACCCUUAUUAUCAGUUGCCAGCAUUAAGUUGGGCACUCUGGUGAGACUGCCGGUGACAAACCGGAGGAAGGUGGGGAUGACGUCAAAUCAUCAUGCCCCUUAUGACCUGGGCUACACACGUGCUACAAUGGAUGGUACAACGAGUUGCGAACUCGCGAGAGUAAGCUAAUCUCUUAAAGCCAUUCUCAGUUCGGAUUGUAGGCUGCAACUCGCCUACAUGAAGUCGGAAUCGCUAGUAAUCGCGGAUCAGCAUGCCGCGGUGAAUACGUUCCCGGGCCUUGUACACACCGCCCGUCACACCAUGAGAGUUUGUAACACCCAAAGUCGGUGGGGUAACCUUUUAGGAACCAGC
rnacentral:rRNA from 2 species